UAGGGUCUUGGUGGACUCAUUCCUAGGGGA
rnacentral:piRNA from 1 species